ensembl:lncRNA
GGGAGAAGUUUGAGAAGCACUACAGGUGGAGCAUAAAGAACCGGAGCGGAGGAGGUGUCAGCCGCGAGGGGUCUUGCAUUUGAGAAAGUGAGACGGGUUCCACAGCGACACACACGCACCCUGGGGGGCGACUAGGAGCAGGAGCGCCCGUCUGCAGACUAGAUGCCAGGCGUGGCCCCCUGGCGGAGACCUCCAGCUCUGAUUUCGAAGAGUCGGACUUGGCUGCGUGUGGGACGGAAGCGAAGAGGAGGAGACGUGUCUCACGGCCCGGUCCUAAAACGGGCGGGUAAAGAGCUGUAUUUUGUGAGGUUCCGUCAGGAUCUAGAUGUACAUCAGCUCACUUUGGACAAGUCAUUUGCUGCGGUGCAAACAUCUCUAUUACCUUUCAGAUAUUUUCAUCUUAAAAAUAAAAGAACUUAAGAGGUGUAGCUUUUACCAUAUUUUCUGGCCUGUGUCUUCAAAUGUCUAACCAAAAUACAGUUUUAAAACUGAUAUGUGAUACUGCAUACUUAAAAAUAUUUGUAACAUAUAUGAAAGUUGUAAAGCCCUCUAAGCCCAAAGAUACCACUUCCGUCUAAAAGCCAGAAAUAAGAGGAUAGGACCUCUUUCUUCAUGUUCAACUUCUGAUUUGUACCAGCCGGAAUUCACAGACAAUGACAUAUGGAAAUGCUGCUCACUGGUACCGUUGACUGGAUUCUGAUUUUGAAAGAACUGCUUCUAAGUUUCCACCAUUGAGAAUUACUGUCAAGUUUUGAUAGUUCACCUUUAUCCAGUCAAAUUCCCUUCUAUUCCUAGUUUGCUAGCAGUUUUGAUCAUGAGUGGAGGUUAAAUGAUAAAAUUUUUUUGCAUCUACUCCAAGGACUAUUUUGCUCAAAAUUCUCCAAGCCAGGCUUCAACAGUACAUGAACCAUGAACUUCCAGAUGUUCAAGCUGGAUUUAGAAAAGGCAGAAGAACCAGAGAUCAAAUUGCCAACAUCCGUUGGAUCAUUGAAAAAACAAGAGUUCCAGAAAAACACCUACUUCUGCAUUAUUGACUACACCACAGCCUUUGACUGUGUGUAUCACAACAAACUGUGGAAAAUUCUCAAAGAGAUGGGAAUACGAGACCACCUUACCUGCCUCCUGAGAAAUCUGUAUGCAGGUCAAGAAGCAACAGUUAGAACCAGAUGUGGAACAACAGACUGGUUCCAAAUAGGGAAAGGAGUAUGUCAAGGCUUGUAUAUUGUCACCCUGCUUAUUUAACUUAUAUGCAGAGCACAUAAUGCAAAAUGCCAGGCACCAGUUGGACUCAAGAUUGCUGGGAGAAAUAUCAAUAACUUCAGAUAUGCAGAUGACACCACCCUUAUGGCAGAAAGUGAAGAAGAACUAAAGAGCCUCUUGAUGAAAGUGAGAGA